ACAACCACCGCCUCAUAAAAUCAAACCCCCCAAAAAUGGCCGCCUGUUCACUCUUCCAAGCAUCCUCCCCCUGUACACUAAACCCUAGAACCUCAAAAUCUUUCCUCCGCAACCCUCGAACUCAAUCCCUAUCAAUCAGAUCUUGUUCAUCAUCAUCUGCAACACCAUCAAUCACAUCCAUUUCAUCAGAAUCAUCAUCAAACUGUCAUUCAAAACACCGCCGCCCAGCCGAUGAGAACAUCCGUGACGAAGCCAAAAGAACUCACAUAACAGACAACAAUCAUGGAUUUUCAGCGAAGUACGUUCCAUUCAACGCAGAUCCGUCUUCAACCGAGUCGUAUUCGUUGGAUGAGAUUAUCUACAGGAGCAAAUCGGGCGGGUUAUUGGAUGUGCAACAUGAUAUGGAGGCGUUGAAGAAAUUCGACGGCAAGUAUUGGAAGAAUUUGUUCGAUUCCAGGAUUGGGAAGACGACCUGGCCUUAUGGAUCUGGAGUUUGGUCUAAAAAGGAGUGGGUUCUUCCGGAGAUUGAUUCCGAUCAUAUUGUCAGUGCAUUUGAAGGGAAUUCGAAUUUGUUCUGGGCGGAGAGGUACGGGAAGACGAUUUUGGGGAUGAAUGAUUUGUGGGUGAAACAUUGUGGGAUUUCACAUACUGGGAGUUUUAAGGAUUUGGGGAUGACUGUGUUGGUGAGUCAAGUGAAUCGGUUGAGGAAAUUGGGGAAACCGGUUGUUGGUGUUGGUUGUGCUAGUACUGGCGAUACCUCGGCGGCGUUGUCUGCGUAUUGUGCUGCGGCUGGGAUACCUGCGAUUGUGUUUUUGCCGGCGAAUAAGAUUUCGAUGGCUCAGUUGGUACAGCCGAUUGCGAAUGGUGCAAAGGUGAUUAGUUUGGAUACUGAUUUUGAUGGGUGUAUGCAGUUGAUUAGGGAGGUGACGGCAGAGUUGCCGAUUUAUUUGGCGAAUUCCUUGAAUAGUUUGAGACUUGAAGGGCAAAAGACGGCUGCGAUUGAGAUAUUGCAGCAGUUUGAUUGGGAGGUUCCGGAUUGGGUUAUUGUGCCUGGUGGGAAUUUGGGGAAUAUUUAUGCAUUUUACAAAGGGUUUCAGAUGUGUAAGGAGUUGGGGCUCGUUGAUCGAAUUCCACGGAUGGUUUGUGCACAAGCAGCGAAUGCGAAUCCCUUGUAUUUGCAUUACAAGUCUGGGUGGGAUAGUGAAUUUAAACCUGUUACGGCGGCUACUACUUUUGCAUCUGCAAUUCAGAUUGGUGAUCCAGUUUCGAUUGAUAGAGCUGUUUUUGCGUUGAAAAAUUGUGAUGGGAUUGUGGAGGAAGCGUCGGAGGAGGAAUUGAUGGAUGCAAUGUCACAGGCUGAUCUUACUGGAAUGUUUAUUUGUCCUCAUACUGGUGUUGCACUUGCGGCGUUGAUUAAGCUUAGAAACAGUGGGGUUAUUCAACCUAAUGAUCGGACAGUUGUUGUUAGUACUGCUCAUGGGUUGAAAUUUACACAAUCCAAGAUUGAUUACCACUCAAAGGAAAUUCCAGACAUGGCUUCCAGAUUCGCUAACCCACCUAUAGAAGUGAAGGCAGAUUUUGGAGCGGUUAUGGAUGUUUUGAAGAAGAGGGUGCUGAGUGAGUAUCAAUAGAAGUAGUUUUUGUAUUUGUACGCUAGCUUUUUGCAUUUCUGUCUUUUAAAUUUGUAUGGUUUUGUUCUCAGAUACCGUUUAGUAGGUUGAGGAAGUGAUCAAUCACGUCUCUAGAGUCCGAUGAAGAAGAAUCAUUUUCUAAUGCUAAUCUGAUUCAAAAUAUAGGUCAUAAUAUUGUUCUGCUUGAUCCUGUACUUUUUGCUGCUCAUAUUUGUGUUGAGUCGGUGUUCAUCUCUCUAUCAGAUGCCUCUGACCUGACCCAUCUUCCUAGAUUAAGUGGAUGAUUAAACUAGUUAGCUCCUUAGAGAUGGAGACUGUUACUGUUUCUGAAAUUCUUGUAAAUUAUCAUAUUCUGAUUUGAAUCGCCGAGCUUUGUUAUUUGUAAUUCAGGUACAAUUCCAUAAUGGUAACCACAGACUGUUAACCUGGCGGAAUUAGAAACACCAGCUGAUCAGAUGGGUUUCAAAGUGAGUCUGUUGUGAAGCUUACCUUAUGGGUGGGUUUUAACUUUUAAGCCUUGCCUAGUGGUAGGCUCAGAUUUAAACUUUGCUCAAUCAAUUUCAACUAAAAAUGUGAUGUGAGAUGUCUUUUUUAUUUGA